rnacentral:rRNA from 1 species
GACGAACGCUGGCGGCGUGCUUAACGCAUGCAAGUCGAACGGAAAGGCCCUGCUUUUGUGGGGUGCUCGAGUGGCGAACGGGUGAGUAACACGUGAGUAACCUGCCCUUGACUUUGGGAUAACUUCAGGAAACUGGGGCUAAUACCGGAUAGGAGCUCCUGCUGCAUGGUGGGGGUUGGAAAGUUUCGGCGGUUGGGGAUGGACUCGCGGCUUAUCAGCUUGUUGGUGGGGUAGUGGCUUACCAAGGCUUUGACGGGUAGCCGGCCUGAGAGGGUGACCGGCCACAUUGGGACUGAGAUACGGCCCAGACUCCUACGGGAGGCAGCAGUGGGGACUAUUGCACAAUGGGCGGAAGCCUGAUGCAGCAACGCCGCGUGCGGGAUGACGGCCUUCGGGUUGUAAACCGCUUUCGCCUGUGACGAAGCGUGAGUGACGGUAAUGGGUAAAGAAGCACCGGCUAACUACGUG